AGAAUCUUUCGCAAUGCCCGAAAGGGUGACGAAGCGACGCCGCGUGUGGGAAGAAGGCCUUCGGGUUGUAAACCACUGUCGGGAGUUAAGAAAUGCAAGGGUGUUAAUAGCGCCCUUGCUUGACUAAGGCCCCGGAGGAAGCUACGGCUAACUCUGUGCCAGCAGCCGCGGUAAUACAGAGGUGGCAAGCGUUGUUCGGAAUUAUUGGGCGUAAAGAGCACGUAGGCGGCCUUGAAAGUCAGUUGUGAAAUCCUUCCGCUUAACGGAAGAACUGCAUCUGAUACUCCAGGGCUCGAGUGCGGGAGGGGAGAGUGGAACUUCUGGUGGAGCGGUGAAAUGCGUAGAUAUCAGAAGGAACGCCGGCGGCGAAAGCGGCUCUCUGGUCCGCAACUGACGCUGAGUGUGCGAAAGCCAGGGGAUCAAACGGGAUUAGAUACCCCGGUAGUCCUAGCCGUAAACGAUGGGCACUAAGUAGAGGGGUUUUGAUUAUCUCUCUGCCGGAGCUAACGCAUUAAGUGCCCCGCCUGGGAAGUACGGCCGCAAGGCUAAAACUCAAAAGAAUUGACGGGGGCUCGCACAAGCGGUGGAGCAUGUGGCUUAAUUCGAUGCAACGCGAAGAACCUUACCGGGGUUUGACAUGGUAGAAGUAGGAACCCGAAAGGGUAACGAACGGUAUCCAGUCCGUAACUAUCACAGGUGUUGCAUGGCUG
rnacentral:rRNA from 1 species